UACGAAGGGGGGCUAGCGUUGCUCGGAUUGACUGGGCGUAAAGGGCGCGUAGGCGGUUUGCACAGUCAGACGUGAAAUUCCUGGGCUUAACCUGGGGGCUGCGUUUGAUACGUGCAGGCUUGAGUUCGGAAGAGGGUCGUGGAAUUCCCCAGUGUAGAGGUGAAAUUCGUAGAUAUUGGGAAGAACACCGGUGGCGAAGGCGGCGACCUGGUCCGAUACUGACGCUGAGGCGCGAAAGCGUGGGGGGAGCAAACAGG
rnacentral:rRNA from 1 species